UACGUAGGGGGCUAGCGUUGUCCGGAAUCAUUGGGCGUAAAGCGCGUGUAGGCGGCUCGGUAAGUCCGCUGUGAAAGUCGGGGGCUCAACCCUCGGAUGCCGGUGGAUACUGUCGGGCUAGAGUACGGAAGAGGCGAGUGGAAUUCCUGGUGUAGCGGUGAAAUGCGCAGAUAUCAGGAGGAACACCAAUUACGAAGGCAGCUCGCUGGGACGUUACUGACGCUGAGACGCGAAAGCGUGGGGAGCAAACAGG
rnacentral:rRNA from 1 species